AGGACGAACGCUGGCGGCGUGCUUAACACAUGCAAGUCGAGCGGAAAGGCCCACUUGUGGGUACUCGAGCGGCGAACGGGUGAGUAACACGUGAGUAAUCUGCCCUUCACUUUGGGAUAACUGCCUGAAAGGGUGGCUAAUACCGGAUAUGACUGCUGCCUGCAUGGGUGGUGGUGGAAAGCUUUUGUGGUGGGGGAUGUGCUCGCGGCCUAUCAGCUUGUUGGUGGGGUAAUGGCUUACCAAGGCUUUGACGGGUA
rnacentral:rRNA from 1 species